rnacentral:rRNA from 1 species
UACGUAGGGACCAAGCGUUGUUCGGAUUUACUGGGCGUAAAGGGCGCGUAGGCGGCGCGGUAAGUCGGGUGUGAAAUCUUGGAGCUUAACUCCGAAACUGCAUUCGAUACUGCCGUGCUUGAGGACUGGAGAGGAGACUGGAAUUUACGGUGUAGCGGUGAAAUGCGUAGAUAUCGUAAGGAAGACCAGUGGCGAAGGCGGGUCUCUGGACAGUUCCUGACGCUGAGGCACGAAGGCCAGGGGAGCAAACGGG